UAGAGGAACUAAAUAGUAGUUUGAUUAGCAUUAGGAUCUGUUAACUAAUGGAAAAAUUGACGGAGAUAAACAGUUUAAUGAAAGUGAAUUACAAAGGAUUAAAUAGUAAUUUCUUCUAAAUUAUAUCUUAUUCUUUGAAAAUAAGAAAAUCAAUUUUUUACUCUGGCAAAUAAAAAUUAGGUUAAAUUGACCCCAAAGUUGAUUUUGGUUUUAAUUGAACAUCUAGAACAAGUUCAAUGGUGCAUUUGAACUUUAUGCCCAAAAUCUAUCACUGAUGAAUAUGAUAACUUCCCAUUAAUAGUUGUAUGUGCAUGUUUGUUUUCUCACAGAUAAAUUCCUUCUCGCUCUUGUAAUUCAUUACCCCUCCCCAGUGAGGAAAUAUAAAUGGAUAACAGUAAUAAUCAUG
rnacentral:misc_RNA from 1 species